rnacentral:rRNA from 1 species
UACGUAGGCAGCAAGCGUUGUUCGGAGUUACUGGGCGUAAAGGGUGCGUAGGCGGCUUCUUAAGUCUGGUGUGAAAUCUCCCGGCUCAACUGGGAGGGUGCGCCGGAUACUGAGGGGCUAGAGUGUGGGAGAGGAAAGUGGAAUUCCUGGUGUAGCGGUGAAAUGCGUAGAUAUCAGGAGGAACACCGGUGGUGUAAACGGCUUUCUGGACCAUAACUGACGCUGAGGCACGAAAGCGUGGGUAGCAAAACAGG